CUCAGCGGCAGUCAGCUGUGCAGGCCUGUACCGUGCCUGAACCAGUCAGUGUUACUCUGCUGGGAGAGGAAGGGGCUGCCGCUGAUGCCUGGCUCUGGGAGACACUGUCCUAGUGGCUGCCGAUGCCAGGCUGUGGCAGCGCCGCGUCCCUCUGAGAGUGGGCCGCGUCCGCGCACGCUGGGGCGGCCCUAGUCUGGGGGCAAACAUU
rnacentral:snoRNA from 1 species